UCCUCUGAGCUCAAGAAAGCUGGGGGGCCCUUUCAAUGCUAGAGUCGCCUAUGUCCAAAAAUCAAGCUCUUAACUGCAAAACGAUGCCAUCUAAAUGAUUUAGUGUUGCCUUGAAGAUGGAGGGGCUGUGUUUUCAUUGUUGAAAACACCUCUAUAAUCUGACACCAGCUGCUGUCAUCUGCCUCGCACCCUAAUGGGAUGUGUUGGGAGGCAGUCGCGGUGCCAGUCAGACUGGAGCGGUCACUGCAGAGAAAAUCAAUUCACGUGGUGUCGUAACUGCACUCUUGGAGAAAUCUUAGCCGGCCCGCAGCCAGCGCCAGGGCAGACCAGCACUGCAGAGGCUUGCCAUCUUCAAUGUGCAUUUUUAAAAAAUCCACAGCCAAAUGAAUCAAUGGUCAGGAAGUGUCUGCAGACAAAUAUCCAUUGCAGGUUUGAUGAGUAAUUCCUUUUUUUAGAUCAAAUUGCAGUAUAGAAGGAAAUGCUUUUUCUUGGUUGUAUUUUU
rnacentral:lncRNA from 1 species